rnacentral:tRNA from 1 species
GUAGUUGUGGCCAAGUGGUUAAGACGAUAGACUAGAAAUCCAUUGGGGUUUCCCCACACAGGUCCAAAUCCUGUCAACUACU